ensembl:snRNA U6 U6 spliceosomal RNA
GUGUUGAGUCCUAUCACUCACUCAACAGCACAUAUACUAAAACUUGGAACAAUAGAGAUAUUAGCAUGGCCCUUGCGAAAGGAUGACAAAGUGAUGAAUCCUAUCUACAAUAAUUAA